UACGUAGGUGGCAAGCGUUGUCCGGAUUUACUGGGCGUAAAGAGCGCGCAGGCGGUUGUGCAAGUCGCGUGUGAAAGCCCCCGGCUCAACUGGGGGAGGGUCACGCGAUACUGUUCGACUUGAAGGCAGGAGAGGGAAGUGGAAUUCCCGGUGUAGUGGUGAAAUGCGUAGAUAUCAGGAGGAACACCGGUGGCGAAGGCGGCUCUCUGGACCACAACUGACGCUGAGGCGCGAAAGCGUGGGGAGCGAAACAGG
rnacentral:rRNA from 1 species